GACGAACGCUGGCGGCGUGCUUAACACAUGCAAGUCGAACGGAAAGGCCCUGCUUUUGUUGGGUGCUCGAGUGGCGAACGGGUGAGUAACACGUGAGUAACCUGCCCUUGACUUUGGGAUAACUUCAGGAAACUGGGGCUAAUACCGGAUAGGAGCUCCUGCUGCAUGGUGGGGGUUGGAAAGUUUCGGCGGUUGGGGAUGGACUCGCGGCUUAUCAGCUUGUUGGUGGGGUAGUGGCUUACCAAGGCUUUGACGGGUAGCCUGCCUGAGAGGGUGACCGGCGACAUUGCGACUGAGAUACGGCCCAGUAUCCUACGGGCGGCAGCAGUGGGGAAUAUUGCACAGUGGGCGGAAGCCUGAUGCAGCAACGCCGCGUGCGGGAUGACGGCCUUCGGGUUGUAAACCGCUUUCGCCUGUGACGAAGCGUGAGUGACGGUAAUGGGUAAAGAAGCACCGGCUAACUACGUG
rnacentral:rRNA from 1 species